CGUGCCAGCAGCCGCGGUAAUACGGAGGAUCCGAGCGUUAUCCGGAUUUAUUGGGUUUAAAGGGAGCGUAGGUGGACUGGUAAGUCAGUUGUGAAAGUUUGCGGCUCAACCGUAAAAUUGCAGUUGAUACUGUCAGUCUUGAGUACAGUAGAGGUGGGCGGAAUUCGUGGUGUAGCGGUGAAAUGCUUAGAUAUCACGAAGAACUCCGAUUGCGAAGGCAGCUCACUGGACUGCAACUGACACUGAUGCUCGAAAGUGUGGGUAUCAAACAGGAUUAGAUACCCUGGUAGUCCACGCCGUAAACGAUGA
rnacentral:rRNA from 1 species